rnacentral:tRNA from 2 species
GCAGUUGUAGCCGAGUGGUUAAGGCGAUGGACUAGAAAUCCAUUGAGGUCUCCCCGCACGGGUUAGAAUCCUGUCGAGUGCG